rnacentral:rRNA from 1 species
GAUGAACGCUAGCUACAGGCUUAACACAUGCAAGUCGAGGGACCGGCACACGGGUGUGUAACACGUAACAAACCUGCCCGUUACUCGGGGAUAGCUUUUCGAAAGAAAGAUUAACACCCGACAUAAAGGAUGGGGAUGCGUUCAAUUAGGUUGUUGGUGAGGUAACGGCUUACCAAGCAUUCGAUGGAUAGGGGUUCUGAGAGGAAGGUCCCCUGCAUUGGAACUGAGACACGGUCCAAACUCCUACGGGAGGGAGCGGUGAGGAAUAUUGUUCAAUGGGCGCUAGCGUGAACCAGCCAAGUAGCGUGAAGGAUGAAUGCUUGUGAAUCGUAAACUUCUUUUAUAUAAGAAUAUGUAUUAUAUGAAUAAGGAUCGGCUAACUACGUGCCAGCAGCCGCGGUAAUAC